rnacentral:rRNA from 1 species
CGGGUGAGUAACACGUGGAUAACCUACCUAUAAGACUGGGAUAACUUCGGGAAACCGGAGCUAAUACCGGAUAAUAUUUUGAACCGCAUGGUUCAAAAGUGAAAGACGGUCUUGCUGUCACUUAUAGAUGGAUCCGCGCUGCAUUAGCUAGUUGGUAAGGUAACGGCUUACCAAGGCAACGAUGCAUAGCCUACCUGAGAGGGUGAUCGGCCACACUGGAACUGAGACACGGUCCAGACUCCUACGGGAGGCAGCAGCG